AUAAUAUCACGAGAUAAAGAAAUACAUCGGAUCGAAUAACUACGGUGCAACAUUUCCAUGAGUAAAAUCAUAUUUACUGCGUGUAUGCGUGUGUUUGCGUGUAUGUGUGCGCGCGAGCGUGUUUGAAAUAAUUAGAAAUCCACAUACUGAAUACUUUAAGAAUAAAGAUAAAUAAGGAAGACUUGUGGUAUUGCAUUUCACAUCUAUCUCAUUCGUAUGAGAUUUUAAUGUUAAAUAACCAUGUACUAAUAUUAAAUUUUAACUAAUUAAUAUCAAUAUGAUAUUUACAAAGUAAUUGUUUUUAAAGAAUGUUGCACCAAAGUUCGCGCAGUGAUCAUUUUUUAGGAUAAGGGAGAGAGGAACAGGAUUAAUGGAAUGAUAAUCCAGUUUGCCAAAAUGCGCCUGAAAUAAAAGUCCUAUUACUCCUGAAAAAGAAUAUAGAUUCUGGAACUAAAAGAAAUUAGUACAGGCAAGUUGGCAAAAGGAAGAUGUUUCCUAGUCAUUCUCAACCUACAGAAGAUGUUCUCAUAAAACCAAUAAAACCGUCAAUUCGGAAAAAUGUUAUCCAUCAUUGCUGUACGUGACUAGUACAAUAGUUAUAGGGAAAGCUCGUACAGUUCGCAAAGUUCUAUCUUAACUUUGCCAAUUUAAGAGAAGCUACGGAUAGACCCACUUUAUAUGCAAAAAUUUGUACCACAUUUUAAUUUGGUUGCAUACAAUUAAAAAGAUUUACCUGUUGCCUUUGAGAAAGCUUGUAAUGCAAUUUCAAAUAAAUAUUGUGAUGUGUGAAUUGUGUAAAAUCGAAUAGAAAUUAAAAAGAUUAUUUAUAAACACAAGGUACACCCGAAAUUUUUAUCAUUUUUGCAGAAUAAGAAAGUGUGUCCAUUUUAUUAGACUUAGGUACAAAAGGUAUUUGUGUUGAGUACACAUAGAUCCUUCUAGACAUCAGAACGCUGCUUCUACGCGCAAAUCUCUUGUUCAUAUUAAUUGCAAUGAUCUUUACAAAGCUUCAAACACAAACUAAUAAUAUGCAAUUGUUUUCGUCGAGUUGAAGCUUUGUUAGACGCGCGCUUUUUGUUGGAUUACUCAGACUGGUGAAUCGCAUACAUGUGUAGCUCCCCUGGGUAAAUGAUGUCAUCGUUGACGGGAAUCUGCCAAACGCUAUCAACAAGACAGAAAACACAGAAAUGCACGGUUAGUCAGUGAAGCUGUACUGUUCUUGGAUACACUUAUAUUGUUGGCAAAAAUAAUUCGCUACAGAUUAUUAUUACUCCUCCUUAUACCGUUCUUAACUGCACAAAAGUAUAUGCAACGAAACUAUGUAAUAUUAAUGUAACGAAUAAUUUCCUGCCGAACAUUAUCUGUGAAAGAAUGUCAGCCAAUAUGUUAAUAGCUGGCAUAAGGUUAUUUAUAAAACACAGUAUUUGUUCAGGUUCACAUUGUUGCUGUUAAAUAGUUUCCCAGAAAGUGUUUGCUAUGGAAAAUUGUUUCGCCAAGUUGUUGCGCCAUCAAAUCACAUCAAUUCUCUUAAUUUUAAGGAAACAAAUGGUUUACAAUUCUUAAUAAUAUUCAUAUAUGCAAAUUUUUGAUAAUAUUCAAGAAAAGAACUGCUGCGAUUUGAUUUCAUAUCGACAGAAUUAUAAAUAGGAAGCCGUCAGUCGAGAAAGAAAAAGAUCAUUUUAUGAAAAUAUCUCUGUAUAAUAAAACUCAAAGGAAGACUAUCAAGUUAGUUUCAAGUGUAGAAUGAAUUAUUAAGUUUCUGCUUUAGUUUCUUUUUCUUUUAUAAAAGAUCUUAUAUUUAACAAUCGUGUACACAGUCUGUGCAUGUAAGAAAUACGAAUACAUUAAGAAAUAAGAAGAACAAAUUCAAUUUACGCUUUCAACUAAUUCCAAUUUUGACUUACGGCGACCGUUCUUGUCUGUUUACGCGCGCCACGGGGUACAUUUGGUUCUAAAGCGCAGAAACAAAUGUACAAAUGCAGUUUCAUAGAUAAGCGAUCUAUGAAAUAUUUUAGUUCCAACUAUUAGUGAUGCCUGUUUACUUCUCCACUGUUUAGAAAAUAAUCUACAAUAUCGAACGAUAGAAAUACAUAGUUACAUUUGUUUAAGUUACCUUCAGAAUUCUUUCUGUAAUCAAACAUUAUUCAUGCCUAUAUCUUGAGUUAAAACGAGUAUUUGGAGAGUAAUGUUGGUAAAACACGCAUUUUAUAUGCAGUGAAACGAGCUUAUAUUUUUACUAUCCAAUUAUCACGUUUGUAAAGCGAAUACAAAGAAUAAAAAUGGUUGAGUUAAAAUUAAGUUAACAAGACAUCAGUAACUUUCGGAGUUAGUGGUUCAUGAUUUGUAUGUGUUUUACGAUUGUAUAAUGAUGUCAUUUCACAAGGAUGAACAGUGUAGUAAUACGGUAAAUCAUGAUACCAUAUUAAAUAAAUAUUUCUUUUACAAGAAACAUAAGGCAAUAUGUUUACAACGAAUACACAUACGAGAUAUUUUUCUCAACACUAUUAAUGUGUUUCUAAAUCUGUAAUUAUUAUAAGUUUUGUGGUGAUCUUUUGUUGAUAUUUAGGUGAUAUAAUAAUAUCCUCCUUGUAAAAGGACAAAUCAUGUGGGAUAAAAAAAGAGUAGAACAGUACACUUACCAAUACUCGAGACACUUUUGUUCUGAAAUAUAAGUAUAGGUAAUAAAUUAUAAUACUCUUGAGAAAAGUUCAUAACAGCACUCAUCUGUAGCACAAUAAAUACAAUUCUCUACUACUUAAGACAAUGGAAAUAUUAUGUGAAAAAUAAUAAUCGCGGUAGCAUGUUAUACAUUUUAUAACUAUAAGAAAAUGUUGUGAACAAUUACUUUUACAUUAUUGUACCAGCAUAUUAGCAUUUUGGACAAACUUUCUUUAUAUACUUUUAUCGCUACUGUCUUCGUAUAUUUUGUAAUUAUAGGAAUUAACGAUGAAGGAUUACAAAAUAUUUAAUUGACACUGAAAAUGCUAUUUCAAACGUGAUGUGGACCAUUGAAUAGUACUAAUUUUUACUUGAUUUAGAAUACUCUUCUCUGAAUUCACUUCACUUCUUUUGUGUACAUAUAUUUAGUUUCUUAUAAUAAUACUAUAUACUAUAAAUAAUAAUGCAACUUACCCAACCAUUUCACGUAACUGUUUAAGAGGGACACGACUCCUCUCAUAUCCCAAACAUACGAAUACAAAUCGUACAGCAACUCACGAUUAUUACAAUAUGUAAGCCGUUGAAAUAGUCUGUUCACGGCAUUGCACAUGUCGUUCAUUUUUGCCGCUCUUGCGUGCCAUUCUUCAACCUGAAAUUUUAUUUCAUUGAAUUGCACAUACAAAAAUUUAGAAAAUAUUCGCCGAAUAGAAAUGUUAUGUUACUCACGUCCGACUGAGAUACACUCUCAUCUUCUUUUAACUUUUUCAUGACGACAUGAGCAUUACUUUUUAGCCAGUUAAAUUCUUGUAACAACUGAAUACCUUGACCACCAUGUUCAAACGGCAAAUAAAAUAGAUCGCAUAGUAACGAAA